rnacentral:rRNA from 1 species
UCCGUAGGCGGGCAGCUCAGUCAGUGGUGAAAGUUUGCAGCUCAACUGUAAAAUUGCCAUUGAUACUGGUUGUCUUGAAUUAUUAUGAAGUGGUUAGAAUAUGUAGUGUAGCGGUGAAAUGCAUAGAUAUUACAUAGAAUACCAAUUGCGAAGGCAGAUCACUAAUAAUAUAUUGACGCUGAUGGACGAAAGCGUGGGGAGCGAACAGGAUUAGAUACCCUGGUAGUCC